GCAUCUCCCGGGGGGCGCCCCUUACGACAGGGCGCAGACAGCCAGCGGAUCCGCGUACGGGACCUCCGGCGAGGCAGCGGGCUACCAGGCCGCGGGGGCCACGGAGGACGGCGUCGGCGCCGUCGAGAUGGCCGAUCCCAUGGUCCCCUAGCAGUCGUAUGAGUAUGUGGAAGAGGCUAGGUUAUGGGAUGUUGUCACCUUGGAUUGCUUAGACGUCGAUGCUUGGACCGCACUUAUUGAAGAGACGGAGAGGAUUGCUGAGAUUUUUGUGUAUUCCUGGUCAGAGCGAGAUAUUAAAAAUACGGAAAUUGUAUGAUGCAUUCCGUGCGGAGUUCCCUCUGUGCUUUGGCUAUUGGAAGAAAUAUGCAGAUCAUGAAGGCCGUCUAGAUGGUGUCAAUAAAGUUUUUGAGGUGUAUGAACGGGCAGUUCUUGCAGUUACUUAUUCAGUGGACAUAUGGUGUAAUUAUUGUCAGUUUGCGAUCUCAACAUACAAUGACCCAGAUGUCAUCAGAAGAUUAUGGUUCCAAUACUUUGUGGGAUGAGUACAUCAAGAAUGAAGAAUCACUUCAAGCAUGGAGUCAUCUAGCUGUGGUAUACACAAGAAUACUAGAGCACCCUAUAAAACAGCUUGAUCGGUACUUUAAUUGGCAUCCCAAAAUUUCGCUCCAGAUGACUCUUUUAUUCCACUGAAAAACACUCGCUCUAAACAACAUCACCAUGAAAUUAUUUGAUCUGGCAAGUGUUGUGUGUUGCGUCGGCUCUGAUUCAGUUGCAAUUGAGUUUGUGUUGUUAUCGCGGAAGAAUAUUGUUCUCACUUAUGGUGACUAUAUUAUUGAAAUUAUGAUCAAUGACUAGCAAUUUAUGCUAACUGACUGCUUACUUUGGGGAGUGUGGAUGACUGUCA